rnacentral:rRNA from 1 species
CCUACGGGAGGCAGCAGUGAGGAAUAUUGGUCAAUGGGCGCGAGCCUGAACCAGCCAAGUCGCGUGAAGGAUGACUGCCCUACGGGUUGUAAACUUCUUUUAUAAAGGAAUAAAGUGAGGCACGUGUGCCUUUUUGUAUGUCCUUUAUGAUUAAGGCUCGGCUAACUCCGUGCCAGCAGCCGCGGUAAUACGGAGGAUCCGAGCGUUAUCCGGAUUUAUUGGGUUUAAAGGGAGAGUAGAUGGGUUGUUAAGUCAGUUGUGAAAGUUUGCGGCUCAAACGUAAAAUUGCAAUUGAUACUGGCAGCCUUGAGUACAGUUGAGGUAGGUGGAAUUCGUGGUGUAGCGGUGAAAUGCUUAGAUAUCACGAAGAACUCCGAUUGCGAAGGCAGCCUACUAAACUGCCACUGACAUUGAUGCUCGAAAGUGUGGGUAUCAAACAGGAUUAGAUACCCGGGUAGUC